UGGAAAGGCAGGCUUCGGCCUGCCUUUCCUGUUGCCCGAGACAGGACUUCCAACGUGCGGGGGGGCAACGGAAGUCCAUCUCGUCGUCUCAACCGGGAUUGAUCACGAUUGGUUCCACUCUGUCAAUCGUAGUUAUCUAAAAUAGUGAUUGCCCCACAGCAACGUGGCUGGACGGUAAAUUUUCCAUAAA
rnacentral:ncRNA from 1 species